UACGUAGGGCGCAAGCGUUGUCCGUAAUUAUUGGGCGUAAAGAGCUCGUAGGCGGUCUGUUACGUCCGCUGUGAAAACCCAGGGCUUAACCCUGGGCUUGCAGUGGAUACGGGUAGACUAGAGGCAGGUAGGGGAGAAUGGAAUUCCCGGUGUAGCGGUGAAAUGCGCAGAUAUCGGGAGGAACACCAGUAGCGAAGGCGGCUCGCUGGGCCAUUCCUGACGCUGAGACGCGAAAGCUAGGGGAGCGAACAGG
rnacentral:rRNA from 1 species